GAUCAUGCAUGACUGAAUCAAAUUACUACAAAACAAUUUACAUAUGUUUAAAUGUUAAUGAGUAACAAUCCAAAUGAAUGCAUCAUCAAGCAGCCCAAUCUUAAAUAGAUUUUAUUUCAACUUCAACAUCGAGUUACAUCAGUUUGAUGUGUGUACCUGGAAUAUACAACUACAAGAGAGAAAGAUGAUCAACAAUAGGAGCGGGCAGCAGUUGAAUCACAUUCAGAAGGAACUUAAUCACCCAGUCAAGUCCAAAACCAAAUAGGAGCAAAACUCAGCCACAGUUAACUCAAAGAAGUUCAAAUAAUAUUGAGGAUGAACCCAAGUGGAGAACAAUCAGAAGCAAAUAACCAAACUCGACUUGACUUCAAAUCUGACUUGAGAAUUCCCAAACACUUCUGAAAAUAUCAACGGAUUAACUGAAGAUUGAUCUCAGCCUUAAACCUCCACUGGAACAGUACUAUUUGUUUUGUAUUUUUCAGCUGAAAUUGAAGUGCUAACACUAAUGGAACAGUUUCAUUUUUUGAUUUUUCGAAUAUUGUUUCUUGUUUUCGGGUAAUAAUGAUACUAGAUCUAAUUGGAAUUGGAAAUUCAAAAUUGAAAUUCAGAUAUGCAGAAGGUUUUUUUUUGGGGAGAAUUUUGAGCUUCAAAACUUGUGAAU
rnacentral:lncRNA from 1 species